CGCAUUGCGUACGCCUAGUACGGCGAGUGAGCGGCAACAGCUCAAAUUUGAAAUCUGGCUCUUUUAGAGUCCGAGUUGUAAUUUGCAGAGGGCGCUUUGGCUUUGGCAGCGGUCCAAGUUCCUUGGAACAGGACGUCACAGAGGGUGAGAAUCCCGUACGUGGUCGCUGGCUAUUGCCGUGUAAAGCCCCUUCGACGAGUCGAGUUGUUUGGGAAUGCAGCUCUAAAUGGGAGGUACAUUUCUUCUAAAGCUAAAUAUUGGCCAGAGACCGAUAGCGCACAAGUAGAGUGAUCGAAAGAUGAAAAGCACUUUGGAAAGAGAGUCAAACAGCACGUGAAAUUGUUGAAAGGGAAGCGCUUGCAGCCAGACUUGCUUACAGUUGCUCAUCCGGGUUUCUACCCGGUGCACUCUUCUGUAGGCAGGCCAGCAUCAGUUUGGGCGGUAGGAUAAAGGUCUCUGUCACGUACCUCCUUUCGGGGAGGCCUUAUAGGGGAGACGACAUACUACCAGCCUGGACUGAGGUCCGCGCAUCUGCUAGGAUGCUGGCGUAAUGGCUGUAAGCGGCCCGUCUUGAAACACGGACCAAA
rnacentral:rRNA from 1 species